rnacentral:rRNA from 1 species
AGGUUAAGUUAAUAAGGCGCACGGUGGAUGCCCUUGGCACUAGAAGCCGAUGAAGGACGUGGACUAACGACGAAAUGCUUUGGGGAGUUGUAAGUAAACAUUGAUCCAGAAUGUCCGAAUGGGGGGAACCCGGCAUGUAAUGCAUGUCACUCAUUACUGUUAAGUAAUGAAAGGAAGGACCGCAUGAACUGAAACAUCUAAGUUAGCUGCAGGGAAGAAAGCAAACGCGAUUGCCUUGUAGCCGGGGAGCGAAA